rnacentral:rRNA from 1 species
AGCAGCCGCGGUAAUUCCAGCUCCAAUAGCGUAUAUUAAAGUUGUUGCAGUUAAAAAGCUCGUAGUUGAAUUUCGAGAUCAGUACGCUGGUCGUGCCUUCGGUAUGCACUGGUGUCACUGGUUUCUCCCUUCUGAAGAACCGUCAUGUCAUUAAGUUGGUGUUUUAGGGAAUCAGGACUGUUACUUUGAAAAAAU